GGGUUGUGAGGUUAAGCGACUAAGCGUACACGGUGGAUGCCCUGGCAGUCAGAGGCGAUGAAGGACGUGCUAAUCUGCGAAAAGCGCCGGCGAGGUGAUAUGAACCUUUGACCCGGCGAUGUCCGAAUGGGGAAACCCAGUGUGUUCCGACACACUAUCGUUAACUGAAUACAUAGGUUAACGAGGCGAACCGGGGGAACUGAAACAUCUAAGUACCCCGAGGAAAAGAAAUCAACCGAGAUUCCCCCAGUAGCGGCGAGCGAACGGGGAGCAGCCCAGAGUCUGAAUCAGCUUGUGUGUUAGUGGAAGCGUCUGGAAAGUCGCACGGUACAGGGUGACAGUCCCGUACACGAAAGCACACAGGUUGUGAACUCGAAGAGUAGGGCGGGACACGUGGUAUCCUGUCUGAAUAUGGGGGGACCAUCCUCCAAGGCUAAAUACUCCUGACUGACCGAUAGUGAACCAGUACCGUGAGGGAAAGGCGAAAAGAACCCCGGCGAGGGGAGUGAAAAAGAACCUGAAACCGUGUACGUACAAGCAGUGGGAGCACCUUCGUGGUGUGACUGCGUACCUUUUGUAUAAUGGGUCAGCGACUUAUAUUCUGUAGCAAGGUUAACCGUAUAGGGGAGCCGAAGGGAAACCGAGUCUUAACUGGGCGUUAAGUUGCAGGGUAUAGACCCGAAACCCGGUGAUCUAGCCAUGGGCAGGUUGAAGGUUGGGUAACACUAACUGGAGGACCGAACCGACUAAUGUUGAAAAAUUAGCGGAUGACUUGUGGCUGGGGGUGAAAGGCCAAUCAAACCGGGAGAUAGCUGGUUCUCCCCGAAAGCUAUUUAGGUAGCGCCUCGUGAACUCAUCUUCGGGGGUAGAGCACUGUUUCGGCUAGGGGGCCAUCCCGGCUUACCAACCCGAUGCAAACUACGAAUACCGAAGAAUGUUAUCACGGGAGACACACGGCGGGUGCUAACGUCCGUCGUGAAGAGGGAAACAACCCAGACCGCCAGCUAAGGUCCCAAAGUCAUGGUUAAGUGGGAAACGAUGUGGGAAGGCACAGACAGCCAGGAUGUUGGCUUAGAAGCAGCCAUCAUUUAAAGAAAGCGUAAUAGCUCACUGGUCGAGUCGGCCUGCGCGGAAGAUGUAACGGGGCUAAACCAUGCACCGAAGCUGCGGCAGCGACACUAUGUGUUGUUGGGUAGGGGAGCGUUCUGUAAGCCGUUGAAGGUGUGCUGUGAGGCAUGCUGGAGGUAUCAGAAGUGCGAAUGCUGACAUAAGUAACGAUAAAGCGGGUGAAAAGCCCGCUCGCCGGAAGACCAAGGGUUCCUGUCCAACGUUAAUCGGGGCAGGGUGAGUCGACCCCUAAGGCGAGGCCGAAAGGCGUAGUCGAUGGGAAACAGGUUAAUAUUCCUGUACUUGGUGUUACUGCGAAGGGGGGACGGAGAAGGCUAUGUUAGCCGGGCGACGGUUGUCCCGGUUUAAGCAUGUAGGCGGA
rnacentral:rRNA from 1 species